UACGGGGGGAGCAAGCGUUGUUCGGAUUUACUGGGCGUAAAGGGCGCGUAGGCGGCGUGACAAGUCACUUGUGAAAUCUCCGGGCUUAACUCGGAACGGUCAAGUGAUACUGUCGUGCUAGAGUGCGGAAGAGGCGAGUGGAAUUCCUGGUGUAGCGGUGAAAUGCGCAGAUAUCAGGAGGAACACCAAUUGCGAAGGCAGCUCGCUGGGACGUAACUGACGCUGAGACGCGAAAGCGUGGGGAGCAAACAGG
rnacentral:rRNA from 1 species